CUCACUGUGUCAGGCAGGCAUCUCUGGAUCCAGCUGGUUUUUGUUUUGCUGAGGCUCAGCUUCUUCCUGGAACUUUUUGAAACAACACUCAAGGGUCUCAAAUGGCUGACAUGAUGGUCUGUGACCUGAAAGUUGUUGAAUAGUUGGAGUGUUCUGCAUUCAUGUGGAAGAGGCUAAAGGAUGUUUGAUGAAGCACUAUGGGCUGCCCUGGAAGAGGACUGAAGAAGCAGCUGCAGGGAAUGAAUGCUUCAAGACCACAGUGCUCUCCUGCCUUGGAAACACCUUCGCCUUCCUCCGCUUCUCUUUGGCUACCAUGGUCACCCUCCACACUGCUUUCCUCAACUCUCGGGCAGGCUGGUCUCAAACUCCUGACCUCAUGUGGUCCUCCUGCCUCAACCUCCCAAAGUGCUGGGAUUAUAGGCAUGAGCCACUGCAUCUGGCCCGAUUCUUUAUAUUUGUAAAAAGCGUACUGUACUUCAAUAUAUUCAAAAUUAGACUAUUAUUUAGAAGUAUAUCAAUUUGCAGCCAGGGCAGUGGCUCACGCCUGUCCUUUACACAUAUAAGAUGGUAAUACACGGCCGGGCACAGUGGCUUGUGCCUGUAAUCCCAGAACUUUGGAAGGCCGAGGUGGGUGGAUCACCUGAGGUCAGGAGUUCGAGACCAGACUGGCCAACAUGGAGAAACCCCGUCUCUACUAAAAAUACAAAAAUUAGCCAGGUGUGGUGGUGGGCUCCUGUAAUCCCAGCUACUUGGGAGGCUGAGGCAGGAGAAUCCCUUGAACCUGCGAGGUAGAGGUUGUAGUGAGCCGAAAUUGCACCAUUGCACUCUAGCCUGGGCAACAAGAGC
rnacentral:lncRNA from 10 species